AUCCAGCUGACGAGUCACAAAUGGGACUAAACGCGCGUACUGGAU
rfam:Schistosoma mansoni strain Puerto Rico chromosome 1, complete genome